GGCCUUGAGAAGCUGGUAACAUCAGUUUUAUUGGGUUGGGGCAGCAACCAUAGCCUGGCUGGGGGCAGUGCCAGCCCUCACAGGUUGUUGAGUUCCAGCAGGGUCUGGUCCAAGGUCUGGUGAAUCUCGACGUUCUCCUCCUUGGCACUGGCCAAGGUCUCUUUCAGAUCAUCGAUGGUUUUCUCCAACUUUGCCACAGACCUUUCGGCAAACUCUGCUCGGGUCUCAGCCUGGGGGGUAAAGGCAGGAUGGGAGAAAUGGGAAAGAAUUAGGCCCUCCCACAGACCACUGCCCAAGUCAAGCUU